GCAACUUCCGUUACCCCUACUGUGUUACGACUUAUCUCCUUUUUCAAGGAGAGUGACGGGCGAUUUGUACACGACUUUUUAAAAUAUUCAGAAAGUACUUCUUUAUUUCUUACUUUUAGGUCCAUCUUCCUACAAAGUUUUCAGUUUAGUUUCCGGAAAAAAAUAAUAUUGUAACUCACCUUAAGUCUUAAUUAUGUGCUGCACCAUGACCUGUCUUUUUUCCUGGUAAGAAGUUUGAAAAUAUCUUAAAUACAUUCUGAAGACGGCGGUAUACAAGCUUUUAAAUCAAGUUCUGUUUCUUGGGGGUUGUCAAUUAUCUGGUAAGUUCCCCUAAAAUUUAAAGCCGCCGCCAUACUUUUUAAGUUUUAACUUUUUAGUCUUAGUGCUUAGGACAUACUUUUUGCUCUUUAUAGUAGGGUAUCUAAUCCUAGUUUAUAUAUUGAGUUUCGGCUAAAAUAUAUAGCAUUUUGAAGUUCCAGUAUCUACCAAUUUCACUCGUAUAGAUUCUGUUGGUUGCUUAAGCCUGGCCUAAUAAUCUUAAUUUUUAUGAUUAGGUGUGACCGCGGCUGCUGGCACCUAAUUUGCCUCAUACAUAAACUAUAAUUAAAUUGACGUGUCCGUCAUUGUUUAAUAUUUUUAGCUGGGUUUACUACUCGCAUAGCUACCAUGCAUAAUCAAGUUUUAAAUUAAGGGCCUAUCAAAGUAAAGUAGC
rnacentral:rRNA from 1 species